UACGAAGGGUGCAAGCGUUACUCGGAAUUACUGGGCGUAAAGCGUGCGUAGGUGGUUUGUUAAGUCUGUUGUGAAAGCCCCGGGCUCAACCUGGGAAUGGCAAUGGAUACUGGCAGGCUAGAGUGCGGUAGAGGGUAGUGGAAUUCCCGGUGUAGCGGUGAAAUGCGUAGAUAUCUGGAGGAACACCGGUGGCGAAGGCGGCAUCCUGGACCAUUACUGACGCUGAGUGAGCGAAAGCCAGGGGAGCAAACGGG
rnacentral:rRNA from 1 species